rnacentral:lncRNA from 1 species
UUCUGUUAGGCGGUGCCUAUCUGCUGCGAUCAAACUGUGCGUGUAUUAGAUGAUGCCUUGUUGUGAACUAAGAAAAAAAUAUUAAAUGUGUCAAACUUUUCAGAUCACAUUCACCUUAAAAGCUUAAACAAACAAGGGCACAAGGCCCAUCAAAUUCUAAAUCUUCAAGAUUUUUAUUCGACCCCUGGCCUUUUUUCGUUACAUUUAGACCCAACUGGGCACUUGCACAAACUCUUUCUUCUGCAGUGGUGUGGCAAAUGUUGUGCUGUAAUUGAAACGAAAAUAUAAUGAGAGUGAUGGCUCUGUAGGUAAUACGAUUGUUAAUGAUCAACAAUUCCAGCCUUGCGGGGGUACAGGACAGUGGCAUUGGUACAGGGUACGGUACAUAGGUAUGGGUAUGGUCAAAUGAAAUAAAAUUUAUACCAACAAGUGAUAUAAGGAAAUAAGGUUCAUAAGAAGACAGUAUAAGGCUCACAUUUCAUACACUCCAAUCCAACAAGCGUAAGGUUCACAGUUCACACGUAUGCGAAUAAAAGGAAAUAAGUAUCUGGCAUAAGCAUACAUGAGGGAAUAACUUUCAAGCUAGGCGAAUAAAUGACAUUAGGUGCAUAACAAGCUCCCAGUGGUUGCAUGUGUUCCACAUCCUUUGGUUUGUACUCUCUAGUACUCCUCUUUUGAGCAAGG